rnacentral:rRNA from 1 species
CACCGCGGUCACACAAGAAACCCAAAUUAACUGUAACCCGGCGUAAAGAGUGGAACCAUACUAUCAUCCCAACUAAGAUCAAAAUGCAACUAAGCUGUCAUAAGCUCAAGGUGCACCUAAACCCACCUUCAAGAUGAUCUUAGCAUCCGCGAUCAAUUACCUCCACGAAAGCUAAGGUA